UUAGUGGCGAACGGGUGAGUAACACGUGAGGAACUUGCCCAUGAGCGGGGGACAACAUUCGGAAACGGAUGCUAAUACCCCAUAGGUGGAUUGGUCGCAUGACGAAUUCAUUAAAGGUGGCUUUGCUACCACUCAUGGAUAGCCUCGCGGCGUAUUAGCUAGUUGGUAAGGUAAUGGCUUACCAAGGCAGUGAUACGUAGCCGACUUGAGAGGGUGAUCGGCCACACUGGGACUGAGACACGGCCCAGACUCCUACGGGAGGCAGCAGUAGGGAAUCUUCCACAAUGGGUGCAAACCUGAUGGAGCAAUGCCGCGUGAGUGAAGAAGGUCUUCGGAUCGUAAAGCUCUGUUGUUAGAGAAGAACACGUGCUAGGUAACUACUAGCGCCUUGACGGUAUCUAACCAGAAAGUCACGGCUAACUACGUGCCAGCAGCCGCGGUAAUACGUAGGUGACAAGCGUUGUCCGGGUUUAUUGGGCGUAAAGGGAGCGCAGGCGGUCUGUUUAGUCUAAUGUGAAAGCCCACGGCUUAACCGUGGAACGGCAUUGGAAACUGACAGGCUUGAAUGUAGAAGAGGAAAAUGGAAUUCCAAGUGUAGCGGUGGAAUGCGUAGAUAUUUGGAGGAACACCAGUGGCGAAGGCGAUUUUCUGGUCUAACAUUGACGCUGAGGCUCGAAAGCGUGGGGAGCGAACAGGAUUAGAUACCCUGGUAGUCCACGCCGUAAACGAUGAGUGCUAAGUGUUGGGGGCUUUCCGGCCCUCGGUGCUGGAGCUAACGUAUUAAGCACUCCGCCUGGGGAUUACGACCGCAAGGUUGAAACUCAAAAGAAUUGAC
rnacentral:rRNA from 1 species